GCCACCGUAGCUCAGCUGGUAGAGCACUUCCAUGGUAAGGAAGGGGUCUCCGGUUCAAAUCCGGACGGUGGCUCUA
rnacentral:tRNA from 1 species